GACGUGGGGGGCCAGCGUUGCUCGGAAUUACUGGGUGUAAAGGGUUCGUAGGCGGUGUGGCAAGUCGGGAGUGAAAUCUCUGGGCUUAACCCAGAGACUGCUUCCGAAACUGCUGUGCUUGAGUGUGGGAGAGGCGCGUGGAAUUGCAGGUGUAGCGGUGAAAUGCGUAGAUAUCUGCAGGAACACCCGUGGCGAAAGCGGCGCGCUGGACCACUACUGACGCUGAGGAACGAAAGCUAGGGGAGCAAACAGG
rnacentral:rRNA from 1 species